rnacentral:rRNA from 1 species
CUGCUGCCUCCCGUAGGAGUUUGGGCCGUGUCUCAGUCCCAAUGUGGCCGUCCACCCUCUCAGGCCGGCUACUGAUCGCUGCCUUGGUGGGCCGUUACCCCGCCAACUAGCUAAUCAGACGCGGAUCCAUCGUAUACCACCGGAGUUUUCCACACUGCCCCAUGCGGAGCCGUGCGCUUAUGCGGUAUUAGCACCUAUUUCUAAGUGUUAUCCCCCGGUAUACGGCAGGUUAUCCACGCGUUACUCACCCGUCCGCCA